rnacentral:lncRNA from 1 species
AUGCCAUCAGCACAGUUGUUGAUCUGUUCUUUGGCUGAUGGACACCCACUCGGGGCUGUUCUGAAUGGAGAGCUGGGGGCCGUGACCCAGAGAGCCAGGCUGAAAGCACACGCCAGUGCAAAGGCCCUGAGGCAAGAAGAGGCCAGACAGGCUGGGGUGGCUACAGCAGAGGGGGAGCAGAGGCCAGGCUGGGGCCAAGUCUUGAAGGGACCAUGCAGUCAGAAUCCCGGGUUUGAGCCUGAUUCCUCUCGGGGCAGAAUUGCCCAGUGGUCACCUGCCUGCCUCCCAGGCCUCUCAUCUCCCUCAGUCAGGGCUGGAAGGGGAGGAGAGAAGGCAAGCUGGCCAUUCUGAGCCAUUGCUGGUCCACCCUGAAGCCACCUGUGGCCACCCGGCUGGCCCAUCAGCGAUGGGUUUUUAAUUAUCUAAAUAUUGCCUUCACCGUUUGCUUCCAGCCAGGACUGCUGAGCUCUGCAAAAGGCAGAUCGCUUUUCAGUGGCACGGCUCGGGGAGCGGGACGCGUCGCUCCCUCGCCUGAUGACAGCGACCGUAACGUGCUAGGUUUUAUUGUGGAGAAACAAUCCAGCACCGUGGCAGGGAGCACAGAACGGGUGUGGGGGGGCAGAGAUUCAGAAAUCACCCACCAUCGCCCACAGCCCUGUGCCUCCUGGCAUUUCCUGGCCUCGUCCCUGGCCUCCUGGGUCCUUCCUCUGUCCUGAGCUGUGCGACCUCAUAGCCGGGGUGGUUUGUGGCUGGGGAGGCUUUGGCAAGGGGCUGGGUCUCCCCUGGAGGUGCCUUGAGGGAGCGGGCCUUGGAGGCCGGCAGGUGGUUUGAUUUGGGACUUUGCCACCCUCAGAGGCCUCGGGGAGGAAGAGGUGGCAGAGGAGAGAGCACAGAUUCUCCGGGAGGAGGUCAUGUGCCAGCCUGAGGCAGCUCGCGGAAAAGGACAAAGAAGGCUCAGUCCCCCACUGCCAUCCCCUGGCGGCAGGAGGCAGGCCUUGACUGCCUCUCUAACCCAGCCUCCUCUGUGCCUGGGGAGCGUCUAGAGACCCCUCCCCACCCUCACCAGUCUUCCAGCCCCCCAGC